rnacentral:rRNA from 1 species
UAGAGGAAGUAAAAGUCGUAACAAGGUUUCCGUAGGUGAACCUGCGGAAGGAUCAUUAUCGCACAAGAAAGGCUCUUGGCUGUCGCUGGCUAGGUGAUUCUAGCAUCGUGCACGUCUAUUCCUUUCUAUCUUCAUAACACACCUGUGCACCUAUUGUAGAUCUUUACUGAUCUAUGUCUUAACCUCACACUACAAUGUAUGUCCUUUGAAUGUAUUUAAAUCUUACAACUUUCAGCAAYGGAUCUCUUGGCUCUUGCAUCGAUGAAGAACGCAGCGAAUUGCGAUAAGUAAUGUGAAUUGCAGAUUUUCAGUGAAUCAUCGAAUCUUUGAACGCACCUUGCGCUCCUUGGUAUUCCGAGGAGCAUGCCUGUUUGAGUGUCAUUUGAUUAUCAACCUAGUCAACUUGAAGUUACUAGGCUUGGACUUGGGAUUUGCUGGCUUUCAGUAGUCAGCUAUCCUUAAAUGUAUUAGCGAGUGAAAUCUUGAYGUGCACGGCCUCUGACGUGAUAAUGAUCGUUGGUGGGCUGGAGCRUCAUUAGGAAGCUUGCUUUGAAGUCUUGACAUGCGAGUGUCAUUUAAUUAUAUCUUGACCUCAAAUCAGGUAGGACUACCCGCUGAACUU